rnacentral:misc_RNA from 1 species
GCCAAGGCCAGGAGUCCAUUCAGAAAGUUCAUGGCCUUUGGAAACUCCUCGGCCGCCGACAGCAUGCCGACGAUCUUGAACCUUAUCCGCGAGAUCUUCAAAGAUUGCGGUGACGGGGUUCAAUACAAAAUUACCGACAACGAAUUUAAUGGCCGAUAUUUUCAAGCUGUGUGUAACCUUCAGACCUUCUCCUCUCCCAUUACUCCCUACCACCGCUUCAUGACUCGAGUCUCCAAGCUCGGCGCAGAGGAUACAAGAGGUAUGAGGAUGCUUAAAUAUCUACAAACAACACCACACCUCAACACAUACUGUGGUCUUUUUCAGCUGCAGUCGUGUCUAAACCACUCUUGUACAAACAAUGUACAAGUUAGUGAUGCUGAGGUUGAAGGUUAUGGUGGGGUCAAGGUCGUUGCUAAAGCUGACAUCAAGAAAGGCGACGAAUUGUUCACGACCUACAUUGACACGUCAAUGCCGCGGAGAUUGAGGCGGGCUUGGCUUUUCCGGUCAUUUAACUUUUGGUGCCAUUGUCACCGCUGUGAAUUUGAAGGAGAUGGGCCAGAAGUUUGCACGGAAUGUCAAAAGAAGGCGGAAAACAAUUCUCUGUUUCUUGCAUGUGGACAGUGCCACAGGGCAUGGUAUUGCUCGGUGCCGUGUCAGAAGUCGGCAUGGCGGCGAGGGCAUAGAAAGAUAUGCAGGAAAACAAAGUCCUCAACAGAUGCAGCAGCCAAUCAGGACUCAAUAGAAUUGUCCAAUAAGGAACCAGAGAAGUAACAAGUUACCGGUGUGAUAGUCUGUAUGUCUAGAUUGUAUUCUUAAUAAAAGCACAUCAGAGAU